rnacentral:rRNA from 1 species
GCCCAUUGCCCGAGUGAGGGCCCUCUGGGUCCAACCUCCCACCCGUGUUUAUCGUACCUUGUUGCUUCGGCGGGCCCGCCUCACGGCCGCCGGGGGGCAUCCGCCCCCGGGCCCGCGCCCGCCGAAGACACACAAACGAACUCUUGUCUGAAGAUUGCAGUCUGAGUACUUGACUAAAUCAGUUAAAACUUUCAACAACGGAUCUCUUGGUUCCGGCAUCGAUGAAGAACGCAGCGAAAUGCGAUAAGUAAUGUGAAUUGCAGAAUUCAGUGAAUCAUCGAGUCUUUGAACGCACAUUGCGCCCCCUGGUAUUCCGGGGGGCAUGCCUGUCCGAGCGUCAUUGCUGCCCUCAAGCACGGCUUGUGUGUUGGGCUCUCGCCCCCCGCUUCCGGGGGGCGGGCCCGAAAGGCAGCGGCGGCACCGCGUCCGGUCCUCGAGCGUAUGGGGCUUCGUCACCCGCUCUGUAGGCCCGGCCGGCGCCCGCCGGCGAACACCAUCAAUCUUAACCAGGUUGACCUCGGAUCAGGUAGGGAUACCCGCUGAACUUAAGCAUAUCAAUUGGCCGGGAA